GGCAACCUGCUGAGGUCCCCUUCCACACUGUUGAAGCUUUGUUCUUUUGCUCUUUGCACUAAAUCUUGCUACUGCUCACUCUUUGGGUCCACACUGCUUUUAUGAGCUGUAACACUCACCGUGAAGGUCUGCAGCUUCACUCCUGAAGCCAGCAAGACCACGAACCCACCAGGAGGAAUGAACAACUCCAGACGCACCACCCUAAGAGCUGUAACACUCACCGCGAAGGUCUGCAGCUUCACUCCUGAGCCAGCGAGACCAUGAACCCACCAAAAGGAAGAAACUCUGAACACAUCUUGACAUCAGAAGGAAGAAACAAACUCCAGACACGCCACCUUUAAGAACUGUAAUAACACUCACCGCGAGGGUCUGCGGCUUUGUUCUUGAAGUCAGUGAGACCAAGAACCCACAAUUCUGGACUCAAUAACUUUAUUCAUAAUUACCAAAAAUGAGAAAAAAACAAGAUGUACUUCAAUAGGACCGCGGCGGCUAGGUCACCUCCUCCGGACGCCGACACGCGCUGCCCUGGCAACCGUCACCAGGGAAACAAGCGACGUCACUUGCGCGUUUUCAACGCUACUCUACGGGGGCCGAGGGGGCGCCAAGAGUUCUGAAAGUGACAGAGGCGCUGAUGGCGCGCUGGGCUGGAUCCAAGCGAGCACGAUCUCGAGUGCGCUGGAGAUUUUAAAUCUUCUGGAGUAUAUUUUUAAAAAAGUUUUGUGGACCAAACGUUCUGCACAGAGAUGCCCAUUCCGCUCUCCUGUUGGGGAGUUAAAAAGCGAACGAUCUCACCAUGAAAUUUAAAGUAGCCAUUCAGAUAUAUUUGAAAAAUGUAAAACAGUGUGGGGAAAGGCCAUGUUAUGAUGGUGAGUGAAGGAAGCAGGACGCAAUAUAGCAAUGCUAAAUAAAUAAAGUUGUGUUUAUUUCAAACUAGGCACUAAAACAAGACCGAAAUAGAAAUAUUAAAAGUGGUUAUAUUUGGGUGGUGGAAUAGCAGUGCUGUGUUUUUAUUUUUACACUUUAGAGAAUUUUUAAAAUAAUGAACAUCGUUUAUUUUCA
ensembl:lncRNA CCDC13-AS2 CCDC13 antisense RNA 2